rnacentral:lncRNA from 1 species
GAAUAUCUCAAGCGGAAUGGUUGUUUCGAUUGUAAAGUUGAAACGAGCUGAACAAAUUCCAAUCACUAGGGUUCAAGAGGAGGUUUUUCAAGAUUAGGGUUUUCACUAAUUGAAGAAAGAAAGAGAAAGAAACUGGUAGAAUGGGAGAGGAGAGAGAAAAUAAGUAGAAAUUCAAUGGAAAUCAGAAGGCGAUUGGGAGAUUUACUGAAUUAGGAUUGAAAUAUCGAGCGAUGGGCAUGUACAUACAAGUGCCUGUAUCUAUGUAUGAAAAUGUAUAUUUAGCCUAUUUUUUUGACUGUUUGUAUAGGUCGAUGUAUAGAUAGAGAGAGAGAGAGAGAGAGAGAAGGCUCUGGGGGCUGGGGAGUGGGGGUUGAUGGUUUGACUCUUCUUUCCUUGCUGCUUUUGCAGAUGAUGACGAUGAGCGCUAGGGGGAAAAAAAAUUAAAAUACGAAAACAUAAUAGAAAUGGAGAAAACUUCUUUUUCUUUUUGAAUAUAUAUAUAUACUCUUAAUAUUUCUUGAGUUUUUAGCGGGGAACAAGAAGUGGGAAAUUUUUAAUAUUUGGGAUUACCUCAAAAAUUUAAUUAUCUUUGCUAAAUUUGUUAUCAGAAAAAGGCAAAAUGAAGGCAAUAUGAAUACUCAAAAAAAUGAUAUGUAAAUCAAACAAACCAUUUGCUCCUGCUUUAUAUAUAUAUCUACUUUUUUCAAGAAUAAUUUUCCUCGAUUUUUUUUUUUGUUACUAUCUUACUACAACAUAAUUUAAUAAAUUAUUGAGGUAGGUAACUUUUUGAAGUAACUUAUCACUCUGGAUUUUCUCAUGAAUGAAGUUGAUGAAAUUGGCCUUUUUGCUUGAGGUAAAUGAGAUGUUUCUCUUCUUUUUCUUUUUUUGUUUGUGGGGUGGGGGGAAAGAAAUAAAGGCUGGGACUUUGGACUUGGGAGGGAACUGUUUCAAAACGGCAUUCACUCAGCAAAGCCAACAGCUAUAGCCAUCGUUUUCAAAGCAGCAUCAAUUCUUCAAAUUCAAAUCAUCAGCCAAACCAUUAAAGGUAGCAUAAAAGAAUGGUUUUACCGUUGCUUUUUUCUCUUCCAGCCGUUAUCUUCAGAAUUUUUAAACCACCAGUAUGUUGGCUUCUGUUUCUCCCAAGUCAUGCUUGGUCUCCUUGGAUGACUUGCUACUUUGUCAAGAAAGUUGCUGCAUGUUCAGUGUGAUCAGUGAAUAAUUUCAAAGUUCAGCUAAGAAAAAGACAGAGCAGAUUCUUUUUUUUUUUUUGCUUUUUCUUUUUCUGGAAAGCAAUAUAUGAAAUGCUUUUGUUUUGGAACUCAAGAAUUCUAACAUUUUGAAGUCAGUUCCCGGUAGAUUUAGUUUCAUAAAAAAUGCAUCCUCUCUUCAAGUACUUUUGCCUGAAAUUGAGUUUACAACCUUGACAUCUGCAGCAGCAGUCUAGAUAAAGGGGGAAGACAAGGGAUCAAAUGGAUAGCGUGGGCAAUUCGGAUGAAACUUGUGAUCUGGGAUAUCAACCUUCACAAUCUUCUUUAGAUCAGAAUGAUCAAUCAUCGUCAACCGAAGCCACCAGCUUUUCGUUGCAGAGUGGCUAUUCUUUCUGUAGAACUAACUCAGACGUCUCAGCCUUCUCUGAACCUACAGAUGACAACAGCAGCACCUUUUCGGAGACCCCCUCUCCCUUAUGUUGGCCAGGAAUGAAAUCUCCCAAAACUCCUGUGCUUUCAAAACUAGUAAUGCAGCAACAAAACCCUGCUGCAGAUGAUGAGACAGAGAAUGAAGAUUUAGGUGGGUUCUGCAAGAUUGAUUCUUUUCCGUCCCUUUUCUUUUUGGUUUCCCUAGUUUCCUAACUGCGUUCGAAAUACUUGUAGAGCUUGACAUGAUGAAGGAAAGAUUUUCGAAGCUGCUAUUAGGCCAAGACAUGUCCGGAAGUGGGAAAGGUGUCAGCACUGCUGUGGCAGUAUCAAAUUCCAUAACAAAUCUUUAUGGUACUGCUAUGUUAAACGCUCCUGUAGUUGGGCCAGAUUGACUUCUAUUACUUCAAUUCUGAUGCAUGUUUUAUUUUUCUGAUCUAGUAUCUCAAUUUUGUUUACACCGUGCAGCUUCUAUAUUUGGUCAACAUCUACGAUUAGAACCAUUACAUCCUGAUAAGAAAUUGAUGUGGAAGAGAGAAAUGAAUUGCUUUUUAUCCAUCUGUGACCACAUAGUAGAAUUUGUCCCAGCAUUACAUGAUUUACAAGAUGGGACUGCUGUUGAGGUGACGACUCUGUUCUUUUAGUUUUUAUUUUUUGUUUCAUUUAUUUAUUUUUGGUAUUGGUUACUGGGCAAAGGUUAGGCAGAACAGGGGCUGAUGAUCUUUGUUCCUCCAGGCUAGUAUAGGCAUUGAAGGUUGGCACUACCAUUACCAUUAGGCCAAGACCUUUGGCCUCAAUAAUGUCAUCUAUGGAUUCCCCUCUUUUACGCUAACCAAUAUGGUUCUUUGCAUGUUUAAUUAAUUAACAUGAUGGGUAUAUGAUCAACUUUCAGGUGAUGACUAGUAGACCGAGGUCAGACAUCAGCGUCAACCUUCCUGCACUGAGAAAACUUGAUGCAUUGCUCCUGGUAAAGACUGCUACUGUCUGUCUGCUGUUAUAAUCAACAUUGAUCUUUGAAAAAUGACCCAAAUUUUCUGUUUUGUGUCAAAUCUGAUAGCUGAAUUCAUAUUGCGUGACAGGAAGUAUUGGACAGCUUUGAGGAAACUGAAUUUUGGUAUGCUGAACAGGGAAGCAUGUCAGGAAAGUCACGGUCAGGGUCAUUUAGGAGGAUUCCUGCUCCUCAGCGCAAAGAAGAAAAAUGGUGGCUACCAGUCCCAUGUGUUCCUUCUGGUGGCCUCUCUGAGAAGUCAAGGAAGCACCUGCGCCACAAGCGUGAUUGUGCCAACCAAAUACACAAAGCUGCCAAGGCUCUUAAUAAUAGCAUUCUUGCUGAAAUGGAGAUCCCUGAUUCCUACAUGGCAUCACUUCCUAAGGUAGUCAUAUUAUAAAUCAGAUGAAGCUACUGCAAUUCUUUAACGGUAAUAUGACAAUAAAAGUCAGCUGUCUAACUGUAUUUUCUGUGUAUCAAUGCCCUACUCAGAGUGGAAGAGCAAUUGUUGGAGAUGCAGUGUACCGCUAUAUGUGCAAUGGGGAGAAAUUUACACCUGACUUGCUUCUGAACUGCCUUAAUCUGGGCUCUGAACAUGAAGCACUCGAGUUCGCAGAUAAGAUUGAAGCUUCAAUGUACACAUGGAGGCGUAAAGCAUGCAGCAUGACACACUCGAAAUCAUCAUGGGACCUGGUUAAAGACUUCAUGUCUGAUAUCGAUCGGACGGACAAGAAUCAUAUCCUAGCAGAACGAGCUGAGAGUCUGUUGUUCUGCUUAAAGCAAAGAUAUCCUGAGCUUUCCCAAACAUCAUUGGACGCAAGCAAGAUUCAGCACAACAGAGUAUGUAUCUCCAAAAUCCACAUUUGUCCUUCCCAAAACAUUAUACCAGUUUCUUGUUUUUUAUAAUGAUCUUGUUUACAUUCAGGAUGUAGGGAAAGCUAUCCUGGAGAGUUACUCUAGAGUAUUGGAAGGUUUGGCCUUCAACGUCGUUGCUUGGAUUGAGGAUGUCCUAUUUGUGGACAAAACUACACGAAACCAAGAUCAGUAGGAUCAUAUUGACGGGGUGUUAUCAAAAGCCGAACUCAGUUUCUGUCAAGCUGCACAUUUGCAAACAGCAAGAAAGGAUCUUUUUGACUGACAGCUACAAUAGGAGAAAAUCAGUUCAUUACAUCAAUAACUAGCUAGUAAUGCUAAGAUGUCAAUCACUCUUAAAUGCAGUCUCGAUUCUGAUUUAUGACCCAAGAUUUAUUACCAAUCCCAGCAGUCUAUGAUUUGUGCUCUUCAGAAUUUACUUUCAUUUUGUGAUUAUACUGCUACGACUUUAGGGAAUGGAACUCGCUAGCUAAUUAGAUAUCCUCUAAAAUGAGGAUGGCAGAAAGAAGCAAAAACCAUUUGGAUAAGACAAUGAAAAUGUUCAUUGCCAUUUUUAAGAUACUUGGACCAAUUGGAACAAUGCUUAUUUCUGUGAAGGCCAUAAGGCAGUUCCUCUCUUUGAUUCGACAUUCGAGGAGAAAAAUUUACAGCAAAAGCAUUCAAGUUGCUCUUAAGUAUCACCCUCCAACCAAGCAGAUUGAGCAGUUGAGCUGCUUCUUCCCUUGUCCUCUUUACCCAGAAGAAAAGAUGAUUUUGUUCCAUAAUCCACAGUAAAACAGUGGAUCAACUAUGUUACUGACAGCAAUCUACAGCCCUCACAACUGGCCCUAUAAGAAAAAUAAAGGGUGGAGAGUAUUUGCCUCUCAAUUAAGUAUCAUUUGAAGUCCUGUCUUAGCCUAAACCUGUAUUACCAGAACAAAAACAUACCUCAAGUCUCCGGAGUACAGUGCUGGACUGCCGGGAGGACGAAACAAUUCUCUCUUAAUUUCCUUAAGUGAAAAUCAGUACAUACUAAAGGCCAACGGCAAUGUCUAUGUAUAUUACCAAAUCCAGCACAAACUGACCAGUCCUAGACAAAAGAUACUGAGACAUUUCUCCUCUGAUACGUGCAUCAGACAAUUAGGCACUUUAGAAAAUAAUAACUGGCCAACAAGGCACAGGACAAGCGUGUGUAAGAAAUACAUGAUGCGUUCGUUUGAGGUGCCCAAAAGGGGCUUUGGAUGGUAGCAAAGGAUGGAUAUUUGCUCUUGGUGGUGACAACCCGUCACUGCAUUUUGCUCCACUGCUGCAUACAUUAUUUUUGCAGGCAUUGUUCACAUAGAAGCUUAUACUAAGAUUAGAUUAUAAGCAUCUUGACAGACUUUUGCGUCUUUCUUUGGAAUUCGAACAAAACAAGUAGUCACACUCUUCAUAAAUAUAAUGACCGAGACCAUACACAUCUAUGCAUUUCAUUAAAAAUAUGAAAGUCUCUGGUGUUAUUUUUGAAGAAUUUUAUGCCUUUUUGUGCUUGGUGAAGUUUGGACAAGCCAUGACAAGCACAAUAGCGGAAGUCUGGCAGAGUUCAAAGUACCACAGUUUAUACCAUAGGCCAUUGCUGUACAAGUCCGAUAAUGCUCUAGGCAGUUAAUUGGAAGUUAUUAAUGACAAAUGUGGACAAAUAAUAACUGAGUAUCACUCAGAUAUGAAAGCUUCAAGCACGAGCGUAAGAUACCAGUUAGGUUCUUAACGUAAAUUGGAGAUCUCAAACUCAAGAUCUAUUACCUAUAUUCCCUCCCCCGUACCACCCAACCCAUCCCUUCCUCUAUUGAGCUUCUCAGUUGUUUACUACCUCUUUAACUCAAAUCAGAUGCAUUUGUUUUUGUCCCUUUGGGGUCAUCCAAUAAAAUUGGAACGAUAUAGAGAAGAUUAGCGUGGCCCCUGCACAAGGAUGACUCGCACAGAAGCAUUUGUUUGCUCUAAUAUUAAGUUUUUCAACAGCUGGGGUGUUGCGACGCCUUGGGGAAUACAUAAGCCCUUUUAUAAUCUGUACGUUGUUGCAUGGAUUUCUCAAAUCUAAGGCUUAUCUAUGUAACUAAUUACAUUGUAAGAGCUGAGACAACUUUACAACUGAAGCGUGAAAUUGCCAAAUCAUAGCAAAUCCAUGCUACUUAAGGGUACAUAUCCGCAUACAGCAGAUCUUGCAACAAGACAGAGUAGCACAACCAAAUGCAUAAAGAGAAGACCAAAAGUAAAGCAACCAUAAUGUUGAGGCCUGUUUAAGGGUAUCGAAGAAUCAAAGGAGAAAAGACAAAAGUAAAGAAAACAAGAGAUCCCAAAACAACUAGACUUUGAUCCGCCAUGUACGAAUGGAAAUUUUCAAAAAUAUGUUUGUAUUAGCCUGUUUGGACAGAAGAACAUACUGAAAAUUUCGAAUCCCCCCUUUUCUCCUCUUUGUAAGAUCAGAGUCUCUCUUGAACCAAAAAAAAAUUAUAAUCCAAGAGAAAAAGUUAAGAGCUGGAGAGCUGGUCAAAGAUGUACCGCUCAAUUAUUCAUUUAGGAUGGAGAAGCCUAAAACCACGACUUUAAAAAGUAAUACAGAUGAUGGCGAAUCAAGUCGUUCCACCAAUCAGAGUCCCUUCUGCUCCAAAGUAAACAGGACAUAAACGCAAGUAAACAGCAAUAGAGAGGAACCAGCACAUUUGACCUGGCUUGAGCAGCCGGUCGGAGAAUAGACCUUAAGAAAAACUAGCCAAAAUUGUUAAGACAAUUGUGUAUCAAUACGUCUAGUUUGUGAUGCCAGGCUGUUACAAAUCCUAAACUAAAGAAGUCUUUGUUACAAAUAUGCGCUAAUACCUGUUCGCAUGUAAAAACUAGGAAAUCGGAAAGUAAACCCGAAACUUUUGUUACUUGGCCAGGCUUCAUGCAAAAUCUGCAAAAUCAGAAACAAGUAGCAUUUUUACGAAAAAUGACAGGCAAAGCAUGAGAGAGAGAAUAGAUAAGCUACAACAUUCUUAAGAUACUUUACUCAAUUUGCAAGAUGUAACAACAAGCGCUGAGCAUGAAAGAGCAGAAAAUCAUUUCUGAGACAUUCUACUCAUCCCAAAAGGGGGAAAUAGUUAUCCCUAUAUGUACAACAACUUCUGAACUGCGCCAAGAAUUGUGCUGUCCAGAAGGGGGUGAUCAAAGGGUUAGUUGUCAAUCAGGGCUGCGAGGUAAAAUGGACAGGCCGCCAAAGAAUGUCGUCCAUGACUCCACGUGACCCAGUCAGAACCCCGUGCACCCAAAAAGAAUGUGCCUUUAAGCAGAUGCCUUUGCUGCCAAAGGCAAUUAGAGCGACCCCGAUGGCCACUUUCCCGUCACGGAUGAGCGAGGACGCUUUCCUGCUGGGUGCUCCCUUUGUAUGUAAAUUCAAAAUUGAAGUACUACUCAUAUCAGCUGUCCUCAUCUAUUGCACCAAUGUAGGCGAGGUCAGUCCUCCUCACCCUAAUGGCCCCCUUGAGCCAGUUUGAUGCUCUCAAAUUAGCAUGGUCACUACCACCAAUAGCAGCAGAGUUGCUCGAAGAUUGCACACCCGUUCCAUCCUCCAAUAGGGUCCAAGGGUCAAUUUCCAAGUCCAGAUCUUGCAGUGGCAGUUGCUUAGCCUUCCCUGCCAUAUUAGCGACAGUUCGAACCAAAGAAACUGGAUUUCUCUGGGAUAGGAUUGAAUUGUGAGGCUGUAAAACUGAUAUCUGAUUGCUGGACUGGAGAGCAGCAAUCGAAGCCGGUGAUAUAGAUGGAGGUUGACAAGAGAUUGAGCACCGAACAGAUGGAAGAAGAAUUGGCAUUGCAGUUUGAAUUCGCCACCGGAUAUGGUCCGGCAUAUGCAUGCGGUUCAGAUCAUUCUGCAUUGAUUAAAAUUGUCAGAAAGCAAAAAUACAAGUAUCCUUGAUAAUUCUCCACUUACUAUCACAUUUUUCAAAGUCCAUACCCUAGAGUCAAUUUAGCCUUCAAAAAUAAAAGAAAUUGACGUGUCAACCAUGGAGCAGAAGUCCACGAGAAUAUGAUGUUCAAACCAAAAAAUUUGAAACUUCAAUACAUUAAUCGCAAGGACUGAGAACUUUCCAUUUUUUGGAAGAAAAGCAUAAGCAUUUGUGGUGUAAAUGUAGUCCUCAUAAACAGCGUGCAUCGAUGAUGCAGCUUAUAAAAAUGGAAUAGUACUGAAUGAACUAAAGAACUCCUCAAUAAAAAGCUAAUCACAACUCAUAUAUUAUGCCAAAGCAAUUUGAAAAGGAGGUCCUUUGACAUGCAUUCCCCUCAGAUCAUGUUAUAACAUUUUGAACAUGAAGCAAAACGCAAAUCUGAUAAUGGAUUGCUUAUCUUGUACAAGUACUCCAUCAGAUAAAUCUUCUGGUUUUCUGUGUUUAUCUAAUAUAUGUGUUUUUGGGACUAAUACUUUUGCAAUAAAAGGUAAAUACAAAAGAAAAUCAAAUAAUAAGCUGCGUCCAGUAAAUGAAUUUCAGAUUGUAUGCAGUCAACCAAACCUGCAGAUUCUCCGCCACCUCACGACCAAAAACACUAAAGUCCUUGCCGCACUCGGAGGCGGACUUGGAGUUAGAUUUCAACUUCAGCCAGCUAGGUCGAUAGCUGCUCAGCAGUCCAUGUAGCAGCAAUAACAAACAAUCGAAAAGACUUUCCCCAGAUAAAAGUACAGAUGUAGCAGAAGCCUCUGUAAGCGACUCGACAUCUCUCUUGGAUAAAUUCAAAGUUGAACUUGUGGUAUGGCCUGCAGCUUCAUGGACAACUCUACAUCCUAGAAGGCGUAAUAUAACCGCAGCAAGCAUCUGUCUCAUACUCUUUCCUGGCUCCCUGACAAGUCCAAAAUGAAGCUUAUAUUAACAAUAAGCAAUAUAGCUAGAGAUGAUUAGUUUCAUCACAGACAUGGAUGCAUUCAGCAUAACCAAGAUAUAUGGUAAAUCAACGCACUCAACAUUAAAGAAUGGGGGACAUAGUACAUGCACAAGUUAUUGGCAGAAAAAAUCCUUCCUAGAGUUAGAAAACUUGCACAAUACCUUCUACCAUUGACCAGUAAUUGAAAUUUCCCUUCCAUAAACUGUCCUUUAUCCAUGUGACAUAUUAACUUCAUCAUCAAUCAAAACUAUUUUUAACCUUAAAGUUUCAAAUAAAUAACGCCCUGGCAUUUGCUUCAUAUUAGUAAAAUCUGGGUAGGAGAACAUGCAUGGAAAGAUUCCGUCUUAAACAAAAUUCAGCUGGAGCAUGCAAAAGCAAUUCAGGACUUUUAUAUUGAGAAUGGUCUCCAAGAAGGGGUAAUAUGCCCUCAUGAACAAAUUGUGUAAUCAGUUUACAGAAUUACCCAUCCGUGCACAUAGUAGGAAGUAGUCUUAGGAGAAACUGCAAGCGCAAUGACAUGGAAGCUCGCAACCCCGCUGGGGAAGAUGGUACUCCAUCAGCUGGUCCCGCAGGUCGUCUGGAAUUGGAUAAUCCAGGACUCCCACCUCUCAUACCUUUUCGGCUAUUGCCCUUGCUUGCUGGGCUUUCUGCUCCAGAUGCAACUGAUCCAACAGAUUUAGCUGCUCCAUGAGAAAGUACAUUUAUCUGCUGCUCAAUGUUAUUCAUCUGUUUGAUCAUGUCAUUUGCAAAGGUGUUUCUUGAGGCAUCAGAGCCUUGAUCCACACAAGGCAGAACUAAUUCAAUAAAUGCUCUCUCUGUCACAUGCUGCUGACUCACCAAGAAACCUUCAACAUCCACAACUUGAGUGGAUCCUCUUCCAGGAAAUCUCACAUCUGAACCUUCAUCAACCACCUCACCUUCUUCAAGAGAGGCGACUUCAAACUUCCUCUUGCUUCCCCUUGUUUUCCGCGAAUCAGAGUUUGAAUCACACCACCCCCAUGGCUUCCAGAACUGCAGUUUAGUUGAUAGAUGUUCUUUUUCAGCAUUAAUGAUAAGCCGUUGCCGAAUUGAUUUCCUUCCAUAAAGAACAUCAGUGCCUCCAAGAAGCCAUUUAGUUUGCAUUAGCAUUUGGUCCUCAAGUGACCUUCCAAAAAGGUGCACAACCUCAGAAAAGAGUGAAGCAGCAUCUGGUCUGGCAAGUAACCUCAUUACAACGAGUUCAACAAAGCUGCUCUCUUUCUCAGAAACUGCAACCUUGUCAGCAUUCGGUGAAACUGAUUUAAUAGCCUCCGCCAAAGGGGCUUCAUUUUUCAGUUUAUCAAUGACUGUUUGUUCAUUCAAAAGAAGCCUAAGCUCAACCCACUGCCAGUGAAAUUUUGCAGGUUGUAAUGUAUCCAAAACAUGCACAAGCUUAUCUCUGAAAUUUGCAUCCUUCUCCUGAUAAUAGUUCUUUAGGCCACCUUGCCCUUGCAUCCUAUUAACGUCCUCUGGUUUAAGCAAUGACUGUGGCAUUCUACAGUCAAUAAGGGCAUUUAAGAAAAGCCGUGCCCUGAGAGGAACAAAGGCCAUGGAUUUGUAAAGAACGUCUGCACUAUGUGAUUCCAGUAAGGCUGCAAACUCAGAAUCAAUGGCAUCUGCAGCUAUGAGAUCAUAAAGGCCAUGAGUGUCUCGCAGACACACAUCACGGAACGGAAGGUGCUUUAAUGCAUCACCUAUCGCCAAUGCUAAGGACUGAUACAAUUGUUGGAGGUCAUCACGCAAGCCAACACCAGUAUUAAAAAUUAAUCCUUUCCAUAUGACAAAUGCAAAUAUAGAAUAGGCAGGCGGAAAGACCAAGUUCAGAGGAAGUGUUCUCUGCAUUCUAGAGAGACCUACAACUGACGCUUCACCCAAGAGCUCCACAAUAAAUCCAUCAGAAACAGUUCUGCAAUUACCUACAAGCACUCGAAACCAGUGGGUGGAAACUUCAACCAAAUUAUCCAGCUUCAGAGCCCCAAUGGAACGAGCACUCCCGUUUGAGUUGGAUUUCAAACUCCUGAAAAAGUGAAUUGGAUCAAGCCCUUCCCUUAAUCUGAAGAGAGUAACCAUUCUCUCAAGGCUAGUAACUCCCUGAAGAAGUGCCCCAACAAGAAGUGCAGAAAUUGCUCCAGCAAUUUUUGCCCCUCGUCCAAGUACACUUUUAACAGAACUAUUCAAGGCUUCAUAGGAGUUUGAACUAGAAUCAUGGGAUUCAGGAGAUGGAUGAAAUUGAGUGCGAGGAGCCUUUCCUGGCACAAACACUUGAGCAAGGGCAGUAGAAGCUUCAACUGCAAGAGCAACCUCAAAGACACGACUCUGACGCUCACCAAGUGCAUCCUUCAGCAGGCACAAGCAAGUUGUAUGGAUGCGUAAAAUGCGUCGAGCAAAAUGCAUUGAACUGGAUGUGGACUGGAAAUUUAGGUGAUUGCCAGCAGUUAAGUCAGGAAUUUUAGCAAUAACCAGUCCAACAUUACUGACAAUUGCAGAAAUAGCAGAGGAUACCAAAGUAGGAUCACCUUCCUGAGCAGCACCACCAGUUUGCCUCAUGCACUCCAUUAAUCCCAUUACUAUUUGUUGAGCUAUUUGAUAACCAUCAUCCAAGUUUUCCAAGACAGGGCUUUUUACUGUACCAGGCCCAAAAAGCUUUCUUUCUUUGCCACAAAAGUAUUGAAAAACUUCAACAACUUGCCUUUGUACUAUAUCUCUCAUUGUCAAAGCAACUCUGGACACCCGUACACCACUUAUCUUGUGACGGAAAAAAUCAUCAAGAUCUUCAACUCCUGCAGGAACUCCAAGUGGGAAGCCAAACUCCGCAUCAGGCAAUCUUCCAGAUUCAAGCUCAGAAAUGAGUCUUUUAUCAUAAGAUGAUUUAAGGUUUUUCUCCCAAUCAACAACACUAGCCACGUUUCCGUACUUCUUCACCAAAUUUCUUGCAUAAACCAAAGCUGAAGAACCUGAAACCCUUCCGGUAGAGGCCAUUGUGGCUGCAACUCGAUGCAUUGCAGCUUUCAAGGUUUCAGGAACAAGAUCUGCGGCUACGAUUAUAUUUUCAUACCUAAAACAGAACAGUAUAAAUAGUUCACUUCAUCACCCUCACGCAUUAUAUAUCUUCAUUGAAAGAUGUAUACCAACCAGAAACUCAAGUUUUAUCAUAGUUUUGAGAAAGGAUGGACUUUAUUAUCUAUAAAUCAGAACUAUGAAAUUUGGUAUUGGAAGCAGACAAUGCAACAGGGAGUACAAUGCUUGAGCUUAUAUUCAAUGGCUUCAAAUGUCAAAUGCUUCCACAAAAUAAAAAGAAUAAAAAUCACCAAAGUUUUAAGAAAAAAUACUACUACCCAGGUCUUAAGAAUUAUUUAUCACAUGAAGAUGUCCUGAUAUAUUUUAACACCAAAUGAAGCCACAGUUAAAACUUUUCGCAAGAGCAAACUUAGACAUCACAAUCUCCAACAACUUUCUCAUUCCCUAAAAUCAACUUCAAAGUUUUCAUAUGCUUUCUAAACCACUAAAUCCAAAAAUCAAGAUGAAAAUGGAAAAAUGUAGGGCCCAAUAACACAAACUGUCUCAGGGAAUCUAAUAUAUAUGUUCAAUAUGAAAACAAAAGUUUUUCAAAUUUUGUCACAAAUAGAGAGAUCCUGCCAAAACAUGAUUCAAAAGAGAGGCGUGUUGGAAAAUGCAUGGAUAGUUGUUUGUACAUAAGUAGAAGCUGCAGUAGUCCAGAAGGAGAAGCAGAAAAGCACAAAGCAUAGACAACAACUCGUCAAAGAAAUGCAAUUCAAAAUCAAUAUCAACUAACAAUCUACAGUAACAAAACCUUCAUAACCCAAAUUCUGUUUGAAAAUACUUGAAUGGCUAGUUUGAGAGUUUAUGAUAUAAAAAAGGAGUUUGGGGGGGACCUAAUGUAUCAGAGAAAAGAAAAGAAGAGAAGAGAUCAUAAUGUUGUUUGGGGAUUUAAGAAAGAAAUGGAAUGAUUUUGGAUACACAUGUCAUUAAAAUUUUGUUUAGUAGUCAUCCAAGGACAGAACUGAUCCUUUAAAAGAUUUACAAGGCUUUCCCCAACUUUCCAUCCAAAUCAGCCCAUAAAUGGGUGGAAAAAUUUUUAAACUGUACCAAAAAAAUUCAUCCGUCUCAAUCCAGCUAAAUCCGUUCUUUUCUGUCUUUGAAGAAACUGGCAAGUGAAUGAAAAGUUUCCAUUUCUCUCACUUUCUUUUCUUCUCUCAUCCAAUCCUACCUCACAAAACAAACUGUAAACGAGAGGCCCAUUUGGAUUGGGUGUUCUUUGGGGUGUUACUAUAAACCUUUACUGUUAAUAACGUUACUUAAAAACAUACUGGAAUAGGUGUUGUUAGGGAGUUUUUUAAGGUGUUUUAUGCACCGCCAGAUCCCAUCUCCACAACCCUGCCACCUCCCCCUUCUCCGCUUCCUCCUCCCUCCUCCCUACCUGCAAAACUCGUCCUCCCCCUGGCCCUCCCCUCCCCCUUCCCCCACCCCAACAAAACAAAAACUGCCUCCUGCCCCUCCCCGUUCUCACCUCCCCUCCCCAGCAACCACUACCAGACCAGAUCUGGUCAUUAAAGAAGCAGGCCUGAAGGAAGGGGAUACCCCCCCCCGGGGUGGGGUGGGGGUGGAAGAAAGGGGAAGGGUAGCAGUGGGUGGCAGGGGUUGGUGGCAGACAGAUAAUGGGUGAUGAGUGUGUGCAAGUGUCACUCUUUGGGUUAUUUUUUGUGCAUUUUUUAGUUUUUUUUUUAAGUGUCUUUUGGGGGUAUUACUGUUGGUUCUUUUUUUUCUUUUAAUCUUGUUUGGGGGUAUUCUGAAAUAUGCUAAUGUAAAAGGUUAGUUAAUCACAUUAUCCAAAUCCCUUCAGAAAUGGUAACUCAUAAGUAGUUUAUCUAUCUAGGACCAGAAAGAAAAUUUUGUGAAAAAGUCAAAUUAUUAGAUGGUGCAAAGUGGUCAAUGUCACAACGUUGUCCAAGACCUUCACUACUAUAGGUCAAUAAAGAAGAAUCAAGCUAACAAUAAAGCCUACUAGGAAACAGCCCUAACAACUUGAGAGACCUUGAUAAAUUUUAAUAGAAACAAAGACCGAUGUCUAAUUUUAACUUUAUUUGGGAAAAUGAAAAGUUCAAGUGGUGCCUCUGUAGUUGGAUUUUCAACCUUUGAACCAUCCUUGAGUAAUAGAUUGAAGAUAAUUUUAUCAGAAGUGAGUAUACCCAAGGAUACUGGAUAGUUAAGAACCAGGGGCUUCACAAAUUAGGUAGGAACCUGUUAGGUUAUUUACACAAUCACAAAAACCACACAGGGUCACUUGACUAGUAUAAACACUGCAAACCAUUUUCUAGAAGGUAAGGAUAGGGAAAUCUAAUGAUAUUCAAACAUAAAACACUAAUGCAGGAGGCAAUAUAGCAAGCAAUGCACACAAAAAAUCACAACAGUCAGCAAAAUAAUUCAAAGCCAAGCUGACAAAAUGACUUGAGAAAACCAAGAGCACACCUCCUAAUAGAUGAUACAAGAAAUGCCUCCCCGACUUCACAAACAACAUUCUCCGUAUUUCUUGGAAGCAUUAAGAUGUUCCGACCAGCGUGGAUGGAAGCAGCAGGGCUGCUAAGAGCUUUUGGCAGCAACCAGAGAAGAAACCUGGCAGCAGAUACUAAUUCAUUAGAAACAUCCAUCAGAUACAAAAUCAUAGAUAAUUCAUCUUCACCAAGCUUCCAUCGCACAGAGUUUGCAUCAUCAACAGCAGAAUAUGGUCUGCCAUAUUGACCAACUUUUGCUGCAGUCUUUUCAGCUUCUUCAACAAGAUGCUUUACAACACUUAUCAACCAUAACAUCACAGUUCUCUUCUCCACAAGUCGCAUCUUUUUCAGAACUUUUCCAAUUGAAACAAUGUCACUACCAUAUGCCAUUCUGAUCCCAUCCCCAGAUUUUGGAGCAUCACCUUCAACACCAGUUCUAUGGUGUGGGCAGUUCACCCUAUUAUCACAAACAUGACUUGUGGAAGCCCCUUGGCUACCUUCAAUUCUAGCAGCUGCUAACUGUGCAAGGCUUUGUGUUUUACGAACACCCUUUUGCCUCCCCCUUCCAGAUUGCUUGGCUUGCUUAGGAGGUGGAUCCAUUUUGUCGAGAGACUUCGGGCCCCUCCUCAGCCACCAUAUAUCUUCAUCAUCCAAUGCAUUGGAUAAAAAUCCCUGUGGGUAUGAGCUCCUAUCUUCACUCAACUUUUGUCUCUUCACCCUUCUACACUCUUCACAUCCAGGUGUUCCUUCACCAAUAUCGAUCUUGGUAAUAGAAGAUCCCGUAGAUCUCUUAAAACCCCCAACAAAAUUUUCUAGUCCACUGUCACUUGACAGUGAUGAACUAGGAAGCUGCAGCAACAUUACUAUUGAAGCCUUUAGAUCUUCAAGCUCAACAACUUGAUCAACAUUUUUGGUAGUUAAACUGGAUAUCCCCUGAAGAGAUCUCCACUGAUCAACAGAAGAAGGAGAUGCACUGCCACCUCCUGAGUUAUAAUAAUGCUUUUGUUUCUGCCAAGAGCUGCCAGAACUCUUAUGGCAAUCAAGCAGGCCACGAAGUACCAAGCGACGCUCAUUUGCAUAUGUAUUAAUCACCUCCAAAAGCAUUGCUCCUUCAAGAACCUGUGCUUCUUCGAGAGCAUCAUGUACAUAGGAACUAGGAAGCUGCUUCAAAAUUCUAUGAUGUCUCUUCCGUCUCUCCAGGUCAACUGAAAUCCCAUUCCCAUCCAUGAUUCCACUAACAAUUAAUUGCCUCACAUAUGCCUGGGGAUAGAAGAUACCAGCCCUCACAAGUUCCAUUAUGAGUAGUUGAAGCCGCUUGACGCCUUCUCCACUGUGUACUUCAUGUUGAUCAAUCCAGCAGACAAUAAUGUCAUGUAAAGGGCUCGGGCUUUCAAAAAUAUUUGACAAAUUUCUAGUUUUCCCACUCUUUAAACUGUAUUUAUUUUGUUCACAAGCAUUGCCAACAGGAAACCUGCCUGGAUAAUUAUUCUGCAAAUCAGGAUCUUUGGCUAGAGUAUCAGGAGCAAGGCUACUCUCGUUCUUGCCCUGAGACAAGCUUUGCAUCUCUCUCCUCUUGAGCUGCAAAAUCCGUAUAGCAAUAUAUAUCUGAGAGAGGUCUUUUUUCCCAGUGAACUUCUGGCCUGAUGGUGGGCCAGUGCGAAAAUCCCUAAAAUCACAAGUUGCCCACUCACAAAUGAAAAAGAUAGAGGAAAUAAAUGACAAGGUCACUGCUCCAAUAUACUUGAGCGAUGACCGUAGACACAAACUCACUUCAGCAAUCCAACGUUCAUCAACAGCUCCAUCACAAAGAUUUUCAAAAAGAAGUUUAUAUGCCACUGACACAUCUCCGUGAAUAAGAGAUUUAUCUAAUGCCAGUAAAGCUUUAGCUACAUUUUGACUUGGAUGUCCCGGUCUGGCAGCCUUUGCAAGGUUUUCUGCACGUUUCUGAAUAGAUGAAACAAUACAGUUUAUGGUCAAAGAGUCAGGGUGAACCUCAACACCCUUGUCUCUCUGCAAGCAGGCUACUUCAAGGGGACCAGUUUUCAUGUUGCUUUCAUCUUCAGCUAUCUUCAACAAAAAACUCCCAUCAUUGACCACAUUAGUUACCAAACACAAUGGUAAGGGAAAGCAAUCCAAAGCAACAAAAGUAUCAGGAACAGCAAUUAUCAAAUAAUGAAGCAUCUCAACAAGAGCAGACAUGGUAUAAGCCCUUCGGGAAUUAUCUACAAGAUCAGACCCACCAGGAGAAGGUUCUUGAAUAAAACGCAUAGCUAUGCCAACCAGAGUUCGCACGUAGGUCUGACAUAAUACGACGGCUUCGAUUACACCAUAUAUUACAGGCAGUAACAACUGCAAAAUCCCAAGACGCUCUUUUUCCUGGGAAGGCAAAAAAAUGAAAUUACCAACAAAAGUAUUACCAGUUGAUGAAUUUAAUCAAAGUACAAAAUAUUCAAAAUCAUAUGUAGAAUACCUGCAGUUGAUUAAAAACCCAAUCAAUAAUGAGAGAUGGAACAAUCAGUCCUUCUGCAUGGUGCCAUUGUAAGAGCCUAACCACAUACCACCACUUAAAAUGCAAAGAAGGCUCAUCAGCAUCAGUAGAAGUAGAAGCAGCAUCAUUUCGAUGUUGUAGGGUCCCAGGAUAAACCAUUUGUGGUGAUCGAUCCCUAAUAUGCAGAGUGGAAUGAAAAUUAUUUUUCGAAACAAACUCAUCCAAGAGCGCCUGGAGGUAAUCUAUGAUAUCUUUUGUCCACUGCUCUGAUCGGGAAAACUGCGUUUUGUCAGGCACACCACCAGACAAAUUGGAAGAGCCAGGCCGUACCUGCAAGGUUAAACCAUAAUCUGCUAAGUUCAACAGUAUAUAAUAAAAAAAUAAUAAUUCCAUAACAAUAUUGCAUGGAGGGAUACUCAAUACCUGAUUAAGAUAAGUCACUUUCACAAACCAAGUAGCUCUGAGUAGUGGAACAUUAUUCCUAAUGAGAACUUCAAGAAGAGAUUUCCUCCGGUAACCAUGAGGAACAUGAUCAGCCAAAGAACACAAUCUUUUAUGCGGUUGAGAUAAUCCCUGGGAAAAUGUUCAAAUAAUGAGCUAGCAGACACUAGGGUUACAAAAGAAAAGAGCUUUAACACAAGAAACUCAUGCAUCUGCAUAGGAUAUACAGUUGCUCAAGUUAGAGUUUUAACCUCAAAAACAUGCCAAUGAAUAGCGUAUUUUGUUUACUAGUCAAGUAAAUCCCUUCCCCUUCUGUAUAACCCUACAGGUCACCCCAAAGCUUCAUUAUGCAUUUCAUCUUCUCCAUAGGGAAUGAAAUAUGGAGGAAGCAUUUAACAGUGGCAACAGAUGUAUCAAAGCAGGUCUCCAGGACCGUUCAAAUAUGGACCUAAGUACACUAGAAAGGCCUAAACAUGGCUUUUGGACACAAGACUCUACAUAUCCUUUACAGUCAGUUUCAAUGUUGCCCUUGCAAAUGCAUAUCCAAUUUUUCAAUGUAAAAAAUACUACAAUCAUAUAUUUUCCAAAUGUAUAUCAUAUUUUACUCAUGUAACACUACCUUUUUUUAGUGUGCAUCUGUGUGUGUUUUAUAGUUUAUAAACAACAUGUCCACCAUCUACUUUUACAACAGACACAGGAGGAUAAUUAAAGACAACAAUGGGAAUGAAUCUUUUGUCACUGUGGUAUCAUCCACAUAAGGAACUAACAUUCAACCAAAAUGUUAGUAGCUAAGCUCUUUUCAAAAGUUUUAAAAUUGUCUGUGCCUCCUUCAGUCCUUGAUUGAUUUAUUAAGCUCAUUUUCAAUAAAUUCCCAGUGGUUCUGCUUAUAACAAUGGGAUAGCCAUCAUGAAUUAAAACUUUAAACUUGGAGGGUUUGCACCCAAUAUUCUUUUCAUUCAAUAUACAAAAAUUCAGGUUAUUCAAUCCCCUAAAAUAGCAAGCCAAUGAGCAACACUGAUUUUGUGGUACGACCAUAUACCCUAUAGGAUCUGAGUGACAGGCAUAAAUAGAAGAACUUCCAACAUGUUUCAGGUUUGCAUAGAAUAAAAACACAAGUGUCGGCCCUGUUUACAUCCAUAUAAACAACUAACAUGCAUAGGUAAUGACUGACAGAAUAAAUUGUUAGAGUAUAAGCAAUAUUAAUUCCAGCUAACUAGGACACUGCACGUCAAAUUUAAUUCCAGCUAACUAGCACACUUUAACAUGCAUAGGGCAUAAAUGUUUGUUCAUAAUCUAUGACAAUUCAGACUCAAAUGAUUGAAAUAUAUCAACGUCAACUAGAAUUACACUUUUAUUAGUUCUACAGGAGCCAUAUGCACAAUAGUCAUCUUCAACAAUAUUUUCUGUUACUUAUUCUUAAGAAUAAACUCCUACUAACUGUCAUAAACCACAAUGUAAAACUACGAAUGUCUAGAACAUGAUAACACCAAUCCAACACCCAGCUCAUCCUGUAGACUUCAGUACUAAAAGGAAAUAAACACAUUCUCGCACUAGCAUAUGCAAGAAAGCCAUAUCCAUGAACACACAAACCCAGAUGCAGAAAAAUACUUAGUGGAGACUAACCUCAAUCCAUUUCUUUCGAAACUCUUCACCACAUGGUUUUUGCUCAGGAAAGGGGCCAGGUUUACUUAAAAGUGAACCUGAAAGAGGCACACCAUAAACUUGGCCCGCCUGCAAAAAUAGGAGCAUUUAUCCAUUUUAUGCUUUCAAAAUACUUUAUUACAACAAUCACAACAAUUUCCAUAAUCGUCCUGAUAAGUAAUAAGUAGACAGGCUAAACCACCAACAAGUAAACAUUAAUUCAAAAAAGAUAGAGAUGGACAAUUUUCCCACAUUUCAGGAGACAUGCAGGACAGGUUUUUAUUUUAGCCAAGAUCAAUAUAAUCAGCUCAUCCAUCAAAAAGUCAGGAGGAAAAACAGCAUCACCUUUCGUUUUUGUGCACGGGACUCAUUAAUAGCCCUGUGACAUUUUCUUAUUGACUGCAAAAGAGCACAGAAACAAAGAGAGACGGUAUCAGGCAAGCAUUACUUCCAAGUCUAAUGAAUACCAAGCCUACAAAUGUGUAGCUCGUUGAAAAUAAAAGGGGAGACCGGUGACACCAUUAAACACAGAACAAUUACCUCCUUGCACUUGAGGAUGACUGGCUUUGUAAAAGUCUGAAUUUGUGAUAAUGAAGUCUCUCUAUUUUCCUGGAAACAUUAGUGAAGACAUAUCCCUACUGAGGUACCAACUCCAAUAAAAGAAAAAAUAAAGAUUGCAAUAAUCAUAUCCAUACAACCAUAAAAUUCUAAAUAGAAGACACCCAAAAAGUUACCUCAAUCCCUUCAACCGUCUCCCUAUAACCAGACUGCACAUAGUCCCUGGUCAACGUCUCCUCAGGACAAGUAGGAGUCUGGAGGUGAAAGUCAGGCAGCCCGAGUCUGUCAAAUGGUACCCAAUUAAUAAAUUAACACUGGUUGUCAUUGAUGAUGAUGGUACAUAUAGAAACAAUCUCAGAUGAAAGGACAAAAGAUCUACAGUGGGCAAUCAUAAUUUCAACAGAAAUUACCUGGAAUUCAAUGGUUCUUUAUCACACCUCAGUUUAUAUGGAGUUAAAGGUAACGGUCGCCUGAAGGAGCAAUAUUAAAAUCAUUAAGCAUGUCAGCAGUAUUUUAAUUGGAAAAACUAACCCAUUUAUCUCUUAGGAGCAAAAUAAAUAGGGGAAACUAAAAACCCUAAUUCAGUUACAGUAUAAUUGAAAUAGCAGAAUGAAGCUAAACAAUUAGAGAAUAAAAUAUAUUAUCUUGAAAUCUGUUUUAACAUUGAGAGAGAUGGGUUCUCUAGAUAUGUGCCAAAUGCAACCACUUGAAAAAAGUUAAUCAGACACAUUACCCCAAGUCAAUGACUACAGAAGAGUAAGUCAGCAAGACUAAUCUGGAAAUUAUACAGGAUUUUGCACACUAACAUCCAACUAAAGGCAUUUCCCAUACAAGAAAGCGAGCUGCUAACUUAUAUAGAGAAUUAUUAAUAUGCUAUGACUAUGAAGCCAAUUUCUGCAGAUAUGAAAGAACCAUAGGACAAGAUGCCUCGAGUUAAGAAGACAAAAGAGCAAGGGAGCAAGAUUUUUAAAGAAAUAGUCGUGGACCAAAAUAAUUCCAACUAGAGGCUACUUGCCAUACCCGCAACCAUCAUCAAAAUUUUAUACACUUCUUUUAAAGGAAUCAAAAAGAAAGAAAACAUCACCACGAUAACAGUAACAUGAUUAAGAUAUUUGAACAGCUCAAUCACAAGCAAUAAUGAGUUCCAAAGCACUACAAACUGAAACUUCUUAUCAUCACGUUACCAGCAGACAACAAUGUUGAUUCAUCAGGACUCCGAGAUAACAACGUUGAUUCAUCAGUUCUUUACAAAUCAUAGUAGCAAUCUAUUCAAAUCGGUGCAAUUUUAAUUUUAAACCAAGCCUAAAAUUUUUUUAAUUACCCCAUUUUAAAAAAAGGCUAAGUACAGUAAAUAUCCUUAAACCAGGUGUAUGUGAUAUAAUUAGUUUUCACUUAUGUGACUGCUUCUACCUCUCCUUUGCUUUAAUCACCAUACAAUUAAAUAAAGAAAUUUCAAGCACCCUUACAAGAUACAUUUUUCUAAGCGAAACCCUUUCCUUUUGUUUCUCAUCCCUCUUGAAACAGAACAUUAGACUUUCAUUUCCAUUCUAAGUCAAAACACAACGAGUGAGUAUUACAAUCUUCUCUUUUCCAUUGCUUUCUUUCCAGUGAGUGGAAUUUUGUCCUCUCCUUUCUUUUUUCUUAAACCCAGACAUACCCCAAAGGAAAUCCCAUAAAAUAUGACUACAUUAAAAUUCCAAUUGCAGAUUUAACAUGAAUAACCACUGCAACAGCUGGAUACUCAUAAUCGUUUUCACUUUAAUUAAUCCUCCAAAAGUACAUUUUGAUCAGAUCUGAACUAGUGAAUUGAAUACCCAAAGUCAUGCCUCAAAUAGGAUAAAUUAUAGCAUUUCUUAACCAUCCAAGUUAACAUGAACUAUUGAUUCAGAAAUCUUUGGUCGUAAAUAUCUUUCCAGUUCCAGCUUCUCAUUGUUUCCAUCUAAAAAUCACUAAAGCUCAAAAUCAUCCUAACCAGAAGAUGAUAGAAAACCAUUAUUGAUCAAACAGCAACAAAUUCUUUACUGAGAAUGAAAUGAUAAACUGGAUAUCAGAACAUUUCGACAUAGUAGCAUGCACUACUGCAUGUUGGACAUAACUACAUGAUAAUAUAAUAUGUAAUGAUCCCAAAAGUUUUAAAAGAAAAGAAAAAUUAUCAUUGGUUAAGCUUCUAUAUGCUUUGUGUGUAUCAAGCAUUUGCAAUGAAGCAAGUAUAAACAAGCAUGAAUUGCAUUUAACAUGCUUGAGCAAAAAAUUAAGAGCCCGUUUGGAUUGCUAUUUGUUGGAAUUUUUGUUAAAAAAAUAUAUCGUACCGAUUUGAUGCAUGUGAGGUAAAAAGGUGAUUGAAAACUGUGUUCACAAAAAAUGUAAAAAUCUUUCAGGAAAAAAUGGCAAUCCAAACAAGACAUAAGAUUCUUGUACCUAGAAUUCAAAGAAAAGUUUGACGGAAUGGAAGAUGACUCAGCUCGGGAAACAUCCCUAGCAGAUCCUCCAAUGGCAGUGUUAUUGACUGCACUAGUGCAGCUGGCAGCAUGAUACCUUUGCAUGUCUCCCAGCUAUCAUCUGCAUGCUGCCUUCAGCAUUGAACCUCAGCAGGGUUUAUGCUGGUCAAACUGCAAUAAAGAGCAUGAAGGAUAAAAAAAAAUUAUAAACAAUCAUAAUUAUAUUAGCCAUAGAAUUUAGCAUUAAAGAGCAGUUAUAAAUGACACAAAAUGUAUUUUAGGGCACAGAAGUCAGAAGAACAGCCAGACCGAAAAGACAAUUCAACAGAAGUUCCAUCUCAACAAUUUAAACAACAUAGGGUCAAAUUUGUCGGUUGCGAUAAGUAUUAGCACUUUAGACAUUAAAUAGUGCAAUACAGAAUUGAUUUUUCUAAGACUGAAGAAUUUGAUUUCCCAUGGUAAGAGGUCAUCAAAGAAAGGAAAAAAGGAAUUGCAAAUAACUGAUUAAGAGAAAAUUAGAGGCUAAACAAUUAGAAAUUGUCAUUAAUUGCUUAGACGGACAUGACAACAAUUUGUAACUACGCGACAAUUUAAAACUAAUGCAAAUUUCUCCAGAACCUUAAAGCCACUAUUCUUCGUUGCAAAAAGUAUGGUAAAGCUUGAACACAAUAUAGGAGGAUAAAUACAACAGUGUUCAAGAUUAAAAGCCGGAUUUGAAACCCUAGAGAACCUCGCACAAGUGACAGAAUAACUUUGGACACUGAGAAUGAUAGGUCAAUCACACAAUGAAGCUACUCCAAUUAAUCUUUGGGUGUCAUUGACAUAUGACACCCAAAGAAAUGUACGAAUUGAUUCUUUACCCACACUCAGAAGUUGAGCGCUUUAACAUUUAAAUGACAUUACUACUAUUGUGUCUCAGAGUCAUUUAUUGAUCCUAGCAACUGAGCCACUAUAAAAUUGCAUUGUACCAUCACAAAACGUUCAAGUUUUAAUCACGUAAUGAAUCCAACAAGACCUUUGCAAGAAGUGAGCCCACAACAUUUCAUAACCAUCUAAAACAAAAAAGAACAGCCCCACCCUCGACCCCACCCACGAGGAAGUAGAACAACUCACGAACCUGACCUUCCUUUAGCAUAAAAAUCAAGGCUUCCUUUCACUUUUAAAGAGAAGACCACGUGGAGUUCAAGCUAACUAGGGCAUACAAAAGUCCUCUACUUAAAAAUCACACAGAUUCAUCGGAUGAGUGAGUGCCAUAGUCCAGCUUUCCACCCUAUAAUAAACUCUUAAACGCACCCAAAACUAGCUAGAAAAACAAAUUCACCCUUCUUCACAGUCGAAGACAACGUAUCGAAAACUCCAAUGCAGGUCCAAUCGCUUCCACUGGCAAAGCAAAACACACAUUUUUCUAUAAAGACUCUCCAUCUGUUUAGUUGGCACAAAGUUCCAAAACUAAAUCCCAUCUACGGCUAAACAGCUACACUACCACAUAUACUACUCAAAAGCAUUCUGAUCCAAGAAAAUUCAAGAAAAGAAAAAAGACCCAAAAAAAAGAAUUCCGGGCAACCACAGCUGAAAUGUGUAAGAACCAAUCUAAACCCCCCCCCCCCCCAAAUCAAAUCAACCACAUUCAAUUUUGCAAAUUUCCAAAUCCCACUGAAUCCAAUUAUACACAACUGCAUAAACUGAAAGGAACAGACGGAAAAGCAGAAAACGUAAGAACAACUUAACCUAAAUUUCUUAGAUUACCUCAGAAAGUACAUUAAGAAAAAAAUAGAAACUACCGAAUAUCUCAAGCCGAAUGGUUGUUUCGAUUGUAAAGUUGAAACGAGCUGAAACAAAUUCCAAUCACUAGGGUUCAAGAGGAGGUUUUUCAAGAUUAGGGUUUUCACUAAUUGAAGAAAGAAAGAGAAAGAAACUGGUAGAAUGGGAGAGGAGAGAGAAAAUAAGUAGAAAUUCAAUGGAAAUCAGAAGGCGAUUGGGAGAUUUACUGAAUUAGGAUUGAAAUAUCGAGCGAU